AUUCUCCUUGAUUCUCAGGAGCAGUUCUCUGAUCUCAUCUGCAAACUCUUUUGAUACUUUGGGAUAGAAUUUGUAUUAACAGAAGUUUUGAAGUCAUUCAGAAUGCCACAUGACCAACGUGGGGUCACCAAUUGGAACAGGGAAGAGAUGUGCACAAUGGCCCUCUCUCCAGCUUGUGUGAGCCGGCUCCAACACACAUCCUGUGGAGCGAGAGUUUGGGUCUCUCUUAAAUAUGAAGAUGGCUCCAGUGUCCAGAGGGAGACUAAAAUCUCUCAGCUGCCAGCCACGCACAUUACCUGAAUGAUUCUGGAUUACUACUGGCUUCUUGAGAUGGGCUGGGGUCAAGACAGGGAAGAGUUUUGAAUGAAGAUGCCAGAAGAGGCCUUUGAGAGGGUGGAUGGGAAUUGCGAAAGGCCCAUUUCCCCUAGACUUAAACCCAAAUUCCCUAGCUGUGAUGAUACCAGGAACAUCCUUCAGGGAAAUCUCCCUUUGUUAUCCACACUGGUAGAGCUCCCAGCUCAAUCCACAACUGCACACCCCCUCACUCUAAGAGUCACUCUUCCCAUGGUGUAGCCAACAUCCACCCUCUUACUCUAGACGUGGCAGCCCUCCUAGAUCCACCCAACCGUUGACUUACGUUCAAAGGCCAUCACCCACCCCAGCACCAUCUUCCAGGAACUGGCCUCUCCCCCAUCAGUCCCCGCCCCUCUUCUGAGAGCACCCAAUGGGUGGAGUCGGGGCUGCGGUGGGAGGGGCCUGAGGCGGGCACAUUUAAAGAAAGGCAGCCGGCGAAAAGAGGCAAGAGAGGAGAAGAAAGAGAAACCAGGGGGGCGAGGCGCCGUCCAAUGACAAAGCCCAGGGGUGGGCGCCGGCCGCCAUCUUGUACCGGGCAGCAGGAUAUUCGCCCGCGUCCUCCGCCCUCGGAGGGGGAGGGGCGGCGGCGGAGGCGAGAAAAGUAGCGAGAGACGCCAGCAGCAGCCGCCGCCGCGGAGCCAACGCGGACUGGGACGGCGGCGGCAGUAGUGGGACCCGGCGAGCGUGAGUGGCCCGGAGCGGCCUUCGAUGCGGCGCAGUAUGAAGAGGCGGCGGCGCCGGCGCCCGGUCGCCCCGGCCACGGCCGCCCGGGGCGGCGACUUUAGGGCAGAAGACGGGGCUGGGUUGGAGGCGCGGGAGGAGAAGGUGGUGUACUCGCGGUCGCAACUGUCGCUGGCUGACAGCACCAAGGCGCUGGGCGACGCCUUCAAGCUCUUCAUGCCCCGCAGCACGGAGUUCAUGAGCUCGGACGCGGAGCUCUGGAGCUUCCUCUGCAGCCUCAAGCACCAGUUCUCCCCGCACAUCCUGCGCAGCAAGGACGUCUACGGCUACUCCUCCUGCCGGGCCCUGGUACCCGACCCCCCGGGGCCCCCUACAGCCCGCGGCCAGGCGCGCCGGCCGGUUCCGCGCGCAGCGGCCAGGAGGAGGCGCCGCGGAGCCCGGGCGGCCGCUGCCCGCAGGAGGAAGCCCCGGCCGCCACCCCCACCGCCGCCGCCCCCCGAGGAGAGCUGCCCGGCCAAGCCCGUGGCCCCCGGGCCCUGCUUCGGGGGCCGCACCUUGGAGGAGAUCUGGAGGGCGGCCACCCCGACGCUGACCACCUUCCCCACCAUCCGCGUCGGCAGCGACGUGUGGGGCGAGCGCAGCCUGGCGGCAGCGCGGCGCAGGGCGCGCCAGGUCCUGCGAGUGAACCUGGAACCCAUGGUGAGGCUCCGCCGCUUCCCGGUGCCCCGGGCAUGAGGUGCGGCCUCCAGGGCGCCUCCUGCCGGCCCCGACCUUGGGACAGGCCUUCCGCCCGGAGGAAUGAACAAGUGUCAGUCGAGUGUUUACAGAUCCGGCCAGGACCCCGGCCCCCAAUGCACUUUACGCGCGAAGAAGUUGCCGGAUGGUUGUCCCUGUCCCGGGCCGCGGCGCGGUCGUCUUGGACGCUGGGGCAGGUGUGCCCUCUGCUGCCUCCCGUACCCGGCCUGCGGAGGGAGGGGACAGCUGGACCCGCAGGGGAGGUCCCUUUCUUCCUGACCACCGAUUGAGACGUCUCCAGGACCUUAGGGGCAGAUCCGUUUUCUCACUGUUGGACUCUACCUCACUGGUCUGGAAGUCCUCCGAAGACAUUAUUUUUCCAAAGGAAUUUGGUUUCGUGCUUGUGUAAUAAAGCCAGAAUUUACUUGUUCUUUAUCUCCCCCUUUUUCUAUUUCACUGUCACCCCUCUUUGUGGACAGAAGUUCGAACAUGUGGUGUUGCACUAGUUUGUGCUCAGGGUAUUCUGAAGCCCACUCGUUUCCUAAUUUUUACUGGAUUCCAAAGCUUUGAUCGAGGAUAUUUUUUAAGAGGUUCAAGCUUGUGACUGUUAGUAGUGCAAGGAUUUGUAUGGGCUCAGUGAUUACAAACAAAGACAUGCAAAAUACAACUGUUUAAACAUUUUCAAGGUAUUUUUAAAGGUUUUGUAUUGAAACAAUGUUUAUAUUUACUGAGCUCCUAAAAAUGGUAGAAUACACAUGAAAACUUUUGUUUAGGAAAAGUUAACUUGUUAAAUUCUUUUGAAUUGAAUAAAAAAAUGCAUUGAAACCAUAUGGUGUGUGAUUAAAAAAAAUGAAUAAAUUGUGAAGAACUGGUUUUGGUUACAGGAGUCACUGGAAUCCGACUGGAGAUGAUUUGGCCCCCUGUCCUGGUCUAACAUACAAAUCUAGGAAUAUUAUGCGUUAAAGUAUUUUAAAAUACAUUAUCCUUGUAAUGUAUUUUACAAGGAUAAUGUAUUUUAAAAUGGGAGUUGCAUAGGAGAGAUGGAUGUGUGUAAACAUUAUCACUAAAAUGAUAAACAGAAUACCCAUUAGAAUUCUUAGAACUAUUAAUGAUCAAGAGGGGUGGAGGCAUUUCUUGGUAUCAAAUAACUGGUUAAGGUUACUUUGGGCGAAAUCUAUUUCCUUUUUGUUUUUGUUGUUGGAUAACAAGAAAUGUCUAGACUAAUAUUCAUCAGUUUUACAAACAUAAUGAAAAUUAGUUGAUUUUUAGUUGAUUUUUUUGUCCCAACAUUUUUUUUAACCUUUUUGCCACUCAUUAUAUGUUUGCAGUUCUAGGUCUUUGACAGCUGAAGACCACAGGAAUCAAACAGGCGAGACACACAGAAUACUGACCCUUCUUUACGCUUUUAUAGUGUUUAUACCAUAUGGCCCAGUGUGGAAUUCUUGAUUAUCCAAGUGCCUUUGGUCAUUUGUGGCAGGAAAACUUAAUAGUUUUUAGCCAGCAGUGCCACAGCCAGCUUUUACUGCAAUACCUAAAGGGUCAAGUAGUGUUUUUGUACCACUAUUAUUUCAAAUUUAAGUAUUCUGCCAUGAAACGAUCCAUACUGGGCUGGAACUUGACAUGUGAAAUCUUUAAUACUAAAGCUUAUCUCUGCUUGGCAGCUUUUUAGGAGAAUAAUGAGAGUUACAAUUUUGACUCUUGCGUUCCUAGAAUUCAAAUGGCAUAGCUUUCUGAAAUGAGUAUUUCAAGUUUAGUAGUCCGUAUAGGAGUGUUGUGACUUCAAUUUCAGUGUUCUUGUUAAAAGAAAUAAUAUGAUAUAUAUAUACACACAUAUAUAUAACUUGAUGCCAGUUUUCUAGUAAGCCUCAGUCUUUUAUUCACUACUCAAUGAUAAUGCAUUGUACAAACACUGUCACAUGAGUAAAUAAAAAUGAAUAAUUCCUUAGAAGAUGGAGAGUGUUAAAUUAUAUUUGUGAUAGGAAGCUUAGACAUAUCUUUUGGUUAUUAGCUUCCAUUGCCAAUUGUAUUUCAGAUGCAUAGGGUUUUCUUCCCAAAAAUAUAUUGUUAACUUUUAUAGCUAACUAGCACCUGGAAAAAAUGUAUUUGUACAACUUUACUAUUGUAUAUAGUUUUAUAAUAAUGAAAAAUAAACCCAAUGGCCAUAUUAGAAUGCAAUUUCGACAUACAGCUUAUCUAGAUAGUUUUCCAGAGGAUUUUGAAAUUUGGCUUAACUGGGAGGAUAACUGCUCAGCACACCACUGAAACAUAACCACUGACACCAUUCAUUUAUUUUAACUGAGAUUCUUGACAUUUUUCUCUCCUAUGCCUUGUUACUUUAGCAUACUUGAACUCACAUAAAUGCUUCUUUGGAUUACAUGGGCUAUCUGAUUCCAUUUUGGAUCUGAUUGUCCAUCUUGAAUUCAAUAUGGUAUUCAUCUGGACUAUUCAAAAAUUAUGCCAUUUCUAGUCUGUGAAAUAAGAUGUAAAAAAUCUUUAUUUUUGCCCUUUGGUAAAAACCUAUGUGACAACUUUUAAAAUGUGAAGCAACAUCUAAUAUAGUUGACUGGUAUACUAAUAGGAAAGUGAAAGUAUUUCAUGGGUACUUUGUCACAGAAUGUGAAAAGAAACUUGGCAUAGUGGCCUUUAUAAUGAGGCAUCCACUUACUCCUCUGAAGUGAAGUCUGUAGCUUAGCUUGUGUAUAGUUUUUGAAAGAAAUCUCAUGAUCUUCGUUCAUUCUCUUGCCUUCUCUUUUAUCUCAUAUGGCACAAGUAGAGGGGGAAGCCAGGAGGAAAUUCAUCACCUCGCUAUGCUUUUAUUUGAUUUUUAAUUCCUGAGUGCCUAAAUGUGGUGACCGGCACCUCACAUAACUUUUUGAGAUUCUUGAUGUCAUUUUUAUCCUUCCUGUCAACCAGCAAUGUAUUUUUAUGUUACUAAAACCAGUAACGUCAUAAUUGUUGAGGGCAAGCUUCAUUGUUGAUAGUGCAAAGUGUCGCUGUUGUGAUGUGUGUUUAUUUUAUUCAAGUUUGAAUAUUGACAAGUGUAACUUAAGCUGGUGACUGACACCUAUUGAUCUGCUGUGUGCAAAUGAUAGUACUAUUUUUUAGAAAACUCUUAAGUAAAUUUUAAAAAUAUUUGAAUACAAAAUAUCUGAGCAAUUUUGAACUCAAAAGUUUUUCAUUGUUUUAAGGAUUGCCACAGGACUCUUUAAUGGUUUUUAAUGGACAUACAUGCCUAAUAUUUAUUGGUGUGUUUAAAAUAUUUUUUGAUAGAGUGUUAUGUCUUAAGCGCAUUAGAAAACAAUUGUUUGUAAUGGAAUCAAAGUGUUUCCCUGGACAGUUUGAUGUGCUUAUGGUUGAGAUUUAUAAUCUGCUUGUACUUUGCUUUUUAACUUAUUAACUGUAAAUAAAUUUUAGAGAAUACAUAGUGUCUAGUUUUUCUAAUGAUUUGAACAUUUUUGAAAUGGUAUUUUGUAUUUGUAUGUGACUCAGAAAACAUCUUAAUUUACAAUUUGAUAAAUUUUGACUUUUUUGUGAACUUCAAAUUCCCAGAAAUCUCGAGAUUUGUUUUUUGUGCUAUCUCGGGAGUCUGUGUUCCAUCAAUUCUUUAAUUAUCUAGCGAAUUUUUAGGAUGGCGCUACAAGCCCAACUUAUUAACCAGUUUGCCAGCAAUAAAAUAUCCUACAAAAAAAAAAUGCAUCAAAAUUCAGAAUUCUCUAAAUCCUGACCCGAGGUGCCCCUGUGACGAUGACAAAAGGUCUAAAGCUCUUGCUCUUUCAUGGCAUGAAAGGAAGUAAGAGUGCUCCAUUUGAGUACCAGUGGUAUGGGCUGUUCCACAGAAUAAGGGCAGGGCUAGAAUUUUCAUUAGAGUCUAGAAGGCAGAAGUGGAGUAUUAGUGAACAGCACAGCAAGAGCCGGAUUCAUAGAUAGUACUGUGUGGGCUGAAUUUGUCUUUGUACCUAAGUUCCUAUUAGUUGGAGGAAGCGUAGUGUAAUAGUUGUGGAGUCACAGUGCCUGGGGUGGAAUUAUUAUGCAUACCUUUGUGACUUGCAAGUGUUGAGACUGUAGGUUGCUGGGAGGACCAGCUCACUGACAGAUUAAAGUUACCAAGUUGAAGUGAUGAGCUUGAAUCCUUCUGCAGUCACACGUUUGGCCUAGCAGAG
rnacentral:lncRNA from 1 species